rnacentral:rRNA from 1 species
GGCCUAAAAGCAGCCACCUCAAAAAAAAGCGUCAUAGCUUAAUUAUAACAACUCACAUAAUUCCAACACCUCUCUUAACCCCUCACUAACAAAAAGCAGUUCCAUAUUUUUAUAGAAAUUUUUAUGUUAAAACUAGUAACAAGAAGUAGCCCUUCUCUUAAAUGUACCUAUAUAUCAAUCCGGACCCCCCAUUGAUAAUUAACGUCUAUAAAUCCAUAGUAACUUCUCUCCACGAAAACCCUACUAUUAUUAACGUUAACCUAACACAAGAACAUUAAAAGAAAGAUUAAAAGAUAAAGAAGGAACUCGGCAAAUAUUAGCCUCGCCUGUUUACCAAAAACAUCGCCUCCUGACUAACCAUAAGAGGUCAAGCCUGCCCAGUGACAUUGUUCAACGGCCGCGGUAUCCUAACCGUGCGAAGGUAGCGUAAUCACUUGUUCUUUAAAUGAGGACUAGUAUGAAUGGCUUCACGAAUGCUAUACUGUCUCCUUUAUCCAAUCAGUUAAACUAAUCUCCCCGUGAAGAAGCGGGGAUUUUUCUAUAAGACGAGAAGACCCUGUGGAGCUUUAAACAUCUUUUAACAUUUGAACUUCUCACUUUACUUUCAGAAAAUUAUACUAAGCCCAUCAUUUUGUUUAAAGUUUUAGGUUGGGGUGACCCCGGAGAAAAACAUACCCUCCACGUAGAAAGAAGUUUCCUUUCUAAGCAAAAAGCCACAUCUUUAUGCAUCAAAAUAUUUGACCUAUAUUGACCCAAUUAUUUGAUCAACGAACUAAGUUACCCUAGGGAUAACAGCGCAAUCCGCUUUAAGAGCUCCUAUCGACAAGCGGGCUUACGACCUCGAUGUUGGAUCAGGACAUCCCAGUGGUGCAGCAGCUACUAACGGUUCGUUUGUUCAACGAUUAAAGCCCU